UGGCUCAGAACGAACGCUGGCGGCAGGCUUAACACAUGCAAGUCGAGCGGGCGUAGCAAUACGUCAGCGGCAGACGGGUGAGUAACGCGUGGGAACGUACCUUUUGGUUCGGAACAACACAGGGAAACUUGUGCUAAUACCGGAUAAGCCCUUACGGGGAAAGAUUUAUCGCCGAAAGAUCGGCCCGCGUCUGAUUAGCUAGUUGGUAGGGUAAUGGCCUACCAAGGCGACGAUCAAGUAGCUGGUCUGAGAGGAUGAUCAGCCACAUUGGGACUGAGACACGGCCCAAACUCCUACGGGAGGCAGCAAGUGGG
rnacentral:rRNA from 2 species